UUCUUGAGUGUGUACUUGUUAAGCCUUUUAAGAAAAAAGUUAUUAACUUAAGGAAUUAUAACAAAGAAGCAACACGUAAAUGGAUUUUCCAUUUUUUAGUGUGUAUCAAUCGAGUUUCUGACCUAUCAGCUUUUGAUGUUAGGGUAUUGGCCUAACAUGGCUAUGACGGGUAACGGGGAAUUAGAGUUCGAUUCCGGAGAGGGAGCCUGAGAAAUAGCUACCACAUCUAAGGAAGGCAGCAGGCGCGUAAAUUACCCAAUUCUAAAGAAGAGAGGUAGUGACAAGAAAUAACAAUACAAGGCCAAUCUGGCUUUGUAAUUGGAAUGAUGGGAAUUUAAAACCUUCCCAAAACUCAAUUGGAGGGCAAGUCUGGUGCCAGCAGCCGCGGUAAUUCCAGCUCCAAUAGCGUAUAUUAAAAUUGUUGCAGUUAAAACGCUCGUAGUUGAAUUUCAAAGAAUCGAUAUUUUAAGUAACGCUUUGUAGAUUAAUCCACAUAACUGAUACUACGUAUCGACUUUGUGCGCAUUUUUCUACUUAUGUGUUCUUUUAAUUAAAAUGAUUCUUUUUAAGAUCUUUCCUUUUUGCUUCGGCAUUUUAGGAGAUCUUGUUACUUUGAGUAAAUUAGAGUGUUCAAAGCAAACAGAUUAUAGCAUCUUUAUGCGUUUGAAUACUACAGCAUGGAAUAACAAAAUUGAACAAGUCAGAAUUUUGUUCUUUUUUCUUAUUUUGGCUUAGUUACGAUUAAUAGGAGUAGCUUGGGGGCAUUUGUAUUCAGAUGUCAGAGGUGAAAUUCUUAGAUUUUCUGGAGACAAACAACUGCGAAAGCAUUUGCCUAAAAUACUUCCAUUAAUCAAGAACGAAAGUUAAGGGAGUGAAGACGAUCAGAUACCGUCGUAAUCUUAACCAUAAACUAUGCCGACUAGGC
rnacentral:rRNA from 1 species